UUCGGAUNGUAAAGCUCUNUUGUUAGGGAAGAACAAGUGCAAGAGUAACUGCUUGCACCUUGACGGUACCUAACCAGAAAGCCACGGCUAACUACGUGCCAGCAGCCGCGGUAAUACGUAGGUGGCAAGCGUUGUCCGGAAUUAUUGGGCGUAAAGGGCUCGCAGGCGGUUUCUUAAGUCUGAUGUGAAAGCCCCCGGCUCAACCGGGGAGGGUCAUUGGAAACUGGGAAACUUGAGUGCAGAAGAGGAGAGUGGAAUUCCACGUGUAGCGGUGAAAUGCGUAGAGAUGUGGAGGAACACCAGUGGCGAAGGCGACUCUCUGGUCUGUAACUGACGCUGAGGAGCGAAAGCGUGGGGAGCGAACAGGAUUAGAUACCCUGGUAGUCCACGCCGUAAACGAUGAGUGCUAAGUGUUAGGGGGUUUCCGCCCCUUAGUGCUGCAGCUAACGCAUUAAGCACUCCGCCUGGGGAGUACGGUCGCAAGACUGAAACUCAAAGGAAUUGACGGGGGCCCGCACAAGCGGUGGAGCAUGUGGUUUAAUUCGAAGCAACGCGAAGAACCUUACCAGGUCUUGACAUCCUCUGACAACCCUAGAGAUAGGGCUUUCCCUUCGGGGACAGAGUGACAGG
rnacentral:rRNA from 1 species